rnacentral:rRNA from 1 species
UACGUAGGGCGCAAGCGUUAUCCGGAAUUAUUGGGCGUAAAGAGCUCGUAGGCGGUUUGUCGCGUCUGCCGUGAAAGCCCGGGGCUCAACUCCGGAUCUGCGGUGGGUACGGUCAGUCUAGAGUGAUGUAGGGGAGACUGGAAUUCCUGGUGUAGCGGUGAAAUGCGCAGAUAUCAGGAGGAACACCGAUGGCGAAGGCAGGUCUCUGGGCAUUAACUGACGCUGAGGAGCGAAAGCAUGGGGAGCGAACAGG